AUUGAACGCUGGCGGCAGGCCUAACACAUGCAAGUCGAGCGGAUGAAGGGAGCUUGCUCCUGGAUUCAGCGGCGGACGGGUGAGUAAUGCCUAGGAAUCUGCCUGGUAGUGGGGGAUAACGUCCGGAAACGGGCGCUAAUACCGCAUACGUCCUGAGGGAGAAAGGGGGGGAUCUUCGGACCUCACGCUAUCAGAUGAGCCUAUGUCGGAUUAGCUAGUUGGUGGGGUAAAGGCCUACCAAGGCGACGAUCCGUAACUGGUCUGAGAGGAUGAUCAGUCACACUGGAACUGAGACACGGUCCAGACUCCUACGGGAGGCAGCAGUGGGGAAUAUUGGACAAUGGGCGAAAGCCUGAUCCAGCCAUGCCGCGUGUGUGAAGAAGGUCUUCGGAUUGUAAAGCACUUUAAGUUGGGAGGAAGGGCAGUAAGUUAAUACCUUGCUGUUUUGACGUUACCAACAGAAUAAGCACCGGCUAACUUCGUG
rnacentral:rRNA from 1 species